AAAUUGAAGAGUUUGAUCAUGGCUCAGAUUGAACGCUGGCGGCAGGCCUAACACAUGCAAGUCGAACGGUAACAGGAAGCAGCUUGCUGCUUCGCUGACGAGUGGCGGACGGGUGAGUAAUGUCUGGGAAACUGCCUGAUGGAGGGGGAUAACUACUGGAAACGGUGGCUAAUACCGCAUAACGUCGCAAGACCAAAGAGGGGGACCUUCGGGCCUCUUGCCAUCAGAUGUGCCCAGAUGGGAUUAGCUUGUUGGUGAGGUAACGGCUCACCAAGGCGACGAUCCCUAGCUGGUCUGAGAGGAUGACCAGCCACACUGGAACUGAGACACGGUCCAGACUCCUACGGGAGGCA
rnacentral:rRNA from 2 species